GACGAACGCUGGCGGCGUGCUUAACACAUGCAAGUCGAACGGAAAGGCCCUGCUUUUGUGGGGUGCUCGAGUGGCGAACGGGUGAGUAACACGUGAGUAACCUGCCCUUGACUUUGGGAUAACUUCAGGAAACUGGGGCUAAUACCGGAUAGGAGCUCCUGCUGCAUGGUGGGGGUUGGAAAGUUUCGGCGGUUGGGGAUGGACUCGCGGCUUAUCAGCUUGUUGGUGGGGUAGUGGCUUACCAAGGCUUUGACGGGUAGCCGGCCUGAGAGGGUGACCGGCCACACUGGGACUGAGAUACGGCCCAGAAUCCUACGGGAGGGAGCAGUGGGGAAUAUUGCACAAUGGGGGGAAGCCUGAUGCAGCAAAGCCGCGUGCGGGAUGAGGGCCUUCGGGUUUUAAACCGCUUUCGCCUGUGACGAAGCGUGAGUGACGGUAAUGGGUAAAGAAGCACCGGCUAACUACGUG
rnacentral:rRNA from 1 species